AUUAGGCAAAUCCGGUACUCGUUAAGGCUGAGCUGUGAUGGGGAGAAGACAUUGUGUCUUCGAGUCGUUGAUUUCACACUGCCGAGAAAAGCCUCUAGAUAGAAAAUAGGUGCCCGUACCGCAAACCGACACAGGUAGUCAAGAUGAGAAUUCUAAGGUGAGCGAGCGAACUCUCGUUAAGGAACUCGGCAAAAUGACCCCGUAACUUCGGGAGAAGGGGUGCUCUUUAGGGUUAACGCCCAGAAGAGCCGCAGUGAAUAGGCCCAAGCGACUGUUUAUCAAAAACACAGGUCUCUGCUAAACCGUAAGGUGAUGUAUAGGGGCUGACGCCUGCCCGGUGCUGGAAGGUUAAGAGGAGUGGUUAGCUUCUGCGAAGCUACGAAUCGAAGCCCCAGUAAACGGCGGCCGUAACUAUAACGGUCCUAAGGUAGCGAAAUUCCUUGUCGGGUAAGUUCCGACCCGCACGAAAGGCGUAACGAUUUGGGCACUGUCUCAACGAGAGACUCGGUGAAAUCAUAGUACCUGUGAAGAUGCAGGUUACCCGCGACAGGACGGAAAGACCCCG
rnacentral:rRNA from 1 species